rnacentral:rRNA from 1 species
AGAGAGAGACAUGCGCGCAUAUCAAUAAGCGGAGGAAAAGAAACUAACUAGGAUUCCCUCAGUAACGGCGAGCGAAGCGGGAAGAGCUCAAAUUUGAAAUCUUCAAGGUUCUACCUUGACGAAUUGUAGUUUAAAGAAGUGUUUUCUGUUGGAGUUUUGGUAAAAGUUCUUUGGAAUAGGACAUCAUAGAGGGUGAGAAUCCCGUAUUUGACCAUUUACUUUCCAGCUUUGUGAUACACUUUCAAAGAGUCGGAUUGUUUGGGAAUGCAGUCCAAAAUGGGUGGUAAAUUUCAUCUAAAGCUAAAUAUUGGCGAGAGACCGAUAGCGAACAAGUACCGUGAGGGAAAGAUGAAAAGAACUUUGAAAAGAGAGUUAAACAGUACGUGAAAUUGUCAAAAGGGAAGCGUUUGACACCAGUGUUGUUUUCUCGAAAAUCAAUUAAAAAAGGCAGGAUUUUGUGUUGUAUUGACUUAUCAGCUUUCUGCACUCUUUUCUUGUCUUUUUUAAUGCACCUUUCGUUUAACAAGUCAACAUCAAUUUCUUUUGUUGUAAAAGGGUCAUUGGAAGGUGGCUUUCUUUUCGGAGAAAGUGUUUAUAGCCUUUGGCCUCUGCAAUCGGAGAGAUUGAGGUCUGCAGCGUAGAUCCUUCGGGGUUAGAUACAUUUGUGCUAAGUUAUAGCCUUUCAUAGACAACUUGUUGACUAUGAUCAGUCAUGUAGCUUACUCGCUUAUGCUAUUUUACCUACGCUUAGGAUGUUGAUGUGAUACUGCGAGCA